GGGCAGUUAGCUCAGUUGGUUGAGCACCGCCCUUACAAGGCGGGGGCCACAGGUUCAAGUCCUGUACUGCCCACCA
rnacentral:tRNA from 8 species